GGGUUGUGAGGUUAAGCGACUAAGCGUACACGGUGGAUGCCCUGGCAGUCAGAGGCGAUGAAGGACGUGCUAAUCUGCGAUAAGCGUCGGUGAGGUGAUAUGAACCGUUAUAACCGGCGAUUUCCGAAUGGGGAAACCCAGUGUGUUUCGACACACUAUCAUUAACUGAAUCCAUAGGUUAAUGAGGCGAACCGGGGGAACUGAAACAUCUAAGUACCCCGAGGAAAAGAAAUCAACCGAGAUUCCCCCAGUAGCGGCGAGCGAACGGGGAGGAGCCCAGAGCCUGAAUCAGUGUGUGUGUUAGUGGAAGCGUCUGGAAAGGCGCGCGAUACAGGGUGACAGCCCCGUACACAAAAAUGCACAUAUUGUGAGCUCGAUGAGUAGGGCGGGACACGUGGUAUCCUGUCUGAAUAUGGGGGACCAUCCUCCAAGGCUAAAUACUCCUGACUGACCGAUAGUGAACCAGUACCGUGAGGGAAAGGCGAAAAGAACCCCGGCGAGGGGAGUGAAAAAGAACCUGAAACCGUGUACGUACAAGCAGUGGGAGCCUCUUAAUGGGGUGACUGCGUACCUUUUGUAUAAUGGGUCAGCGACUUAUAUUCUGUAGCAAGGUUAACCGAAUAGGGGAGCCGAAGGGAAACCGAGUCUUAACUGGGCGUUAAGUUGCAGGGUAUAGACCCGAAACCCGGUGAUCUAGCCAUGGGCAGGUUGAAGGUUGGGUAACACUAACUGGAGGACCGAACCGACUAAUGUUGAAAAAUUAGCGGAUGACUUGUGGCUGGGGGUGAAAGGCCAAUCAAACCGGGAGAUAGCUGGUUCUCCCCGAAAGCUAUUUAGGUAGCGCCUCGUGAAUUCAUCUCCGGGGGUAGAGCACUGUUUCGGCAAGGGGGUCAUCCCGACUUACCAACCCGAUGCAAACUGCGAAUACCGGAGAAUGUUAUCACGGGAGACACACGGCGGGUGCUAACGUCCGUCGUGAAGAGGGAAACAACCCAGACCGCCAGCUAAGGUCCCAAAGUCAUGGUUAAGUGGGAAACGAUGUGGGAAGGCCCAGACAGCCAGGAUGUUGGCUUAGAAGCAGCCAUCAUUUAAAGAAAGCGUAAUAGCUCACUGGUCGAGUCGGCCUGCGCGGAAGAUGUAACGGGGCUAAACCAUGCACCGAAGCUGCGGCAGCGACACUAUGUGUUGUUGGGUAGGGGAGCGUUCUGUAAGCCUGUGAAGGUGGCCUGUGAGGGUUGCUGGAGGUAUCAGAAGUGCGAAUGCUGACAUAAGUAACGAUAAAGCGGGUGAAAAGCCCGCUCGCCGGAAGACCAAGGGUUCCUGUCCAACGUUAAUCGGGGCAGGGUGAGUCGACCCCUAAGGCGAGGCCGAAAGGCGUAGUCGAUGGGAAACAGGUUAAUAUUCCUGUACUUGGUGUUACUGCGAAGGGGGACGGAGAAGGCUAUGUUGGCCGGGCGACGGUUGUCCCGGUUUAAGCGUGUAGGCUGGUUUUCCAGGCAAAUCCGGAAAAUCAAGGCUGAGGCGUGAUGACGAGGCACUACGGUGCUGAAGCGACAAAUGCCCUGCUUCCAGGAAAAGCCUCUAAGCAUCAGGUAACAUCAAAUCGUACCCCAAACCGACACAGGUGGUCAGGUAGAGAAUACCAAGGCGCUUGAGAGAACUCGGGUGAAGGAACUAGGCAAAAUGGUGCCGUAACUUCGGGAGAAGGCACGCUGAUAUGUAGGUGAAGCGACUUGCUCGUGGAGCUGAAAUCAGUCGAAGAUACCAGCUGGCUGCAACUGUUUAUUAAAAACACAGCACUGUGCAAACACGAAAGUGGACGUAUACGGUGUGACGCCUGCCCGGUGCCGGAAGGUUAAUUGAUGGGGUUAGCGGUAACGCGAAGCUCUUGAUCGAAGCCCCGGUAAACGGCGGCCGUAACUAUAACGGUCCUAAGGUAGCGAAAUUCCUUGUCGGGUAAGUUCCGACCUGCACGAAUGGCGUAAUGAUGGCCAGGCUGUCUCCACCCGAGACUCAGUGAAAUUGAACUCGCUGUGAAGAUGCAGUGUACCCGCGGCAAGACGGAAAGACCCCGUGAACCUUUACUAUAGCUUGACACUGAACAUUGAGCCUUGAUGUGUAGGAUAGGUGGGAGGCUUUGAAGUGUGGACGCCAGUCUGCAUGGAGCCGACCUUGAAAUACCACCCUUUAAUGUUUGAUGUUCUAACGUGGGCCCCUUACCGGGGUUGCGGACAGUGUCUGGUGGGUAGUUUGACUGGGGCGGUCUCCUCCUAAAGAGUAACGGAGGAGCACGAAGGUUGGCUAAUCCUGGUCGGACAUCAGGAGGUUAGUGCAAUGGCAUAAGCCAGCUUGACUGCGAGCGUGACGGCGCGAGCAGGUGCGAAAGCAGGUCAUAGUGAUCCGGUGGUUCUGAAUGGAAGGGCCAUCGCUCAACGGAUAAAAGGUACUCCGGGGAUAACAGGCUGAUACCGCCCAAGAGUUCAUAUCGACGGCGGUGUUUGGCACCUCGAUGUCGGCUCAUCACAUCCUGGGGCUGAAGUAGGUCCCAAGGGUAUGGCUGUUCGCCAUUUAAAGUGGUACGCGAGCUGGGUUUAGAACGUCGUGAGACAGUUCGGUCCCUAUCUGCCGUGGGCGCUGGAGAACUGAGGGGGGCUGCUCCUAGUACGAGAGGACCGGAGUGGACGCAUCACUGGUGUUCGGGUUGUCAUGCCAAUGGCACUGCCCGGUAGCUAAAUGCGGAAGAGAUAAGUGCUGAAAGCAUCUAAGCACGAAACUUGCCCCGAGAUGAGUUCUCCCUGACUCCUUGAGAGUCCUGAAGGAACGUUGAAGACGACGACGUUGAUAGGCCGGGUGUGUAAGCGCAGCGAUGCGUUGAGCUAACCGGUACUAAUGAACCGUGAGGCUUAACCUUACAACGCCGAAG
rnacentral:rRNA from 1 species